GUGCUCACUUUGGCGCAUAUAUACUAAAAUCAGAACAAUACAGAGGUUAGCAUGGCCCCUGCUCAAGGACAACAAGAAAAUUCAUAUUUUU
ensembl:snRNA U6 U6 spliceosomal RNA